rnacentral:tRNA from 1 species
GGGGAUUUAGCUCAAUGGUAGAGCGCUUGCCUAGGAAGCACAAGGCCCUGGGUUCAGUCUCCA